GAAAAGAAACUAACAAGGAUUCCCCUAGUAACGGCGAGUGAAGAGGGAAGAGCUCAAAUUUGAAAGCUGGUACCUUCGGUAUCCGCGUUGUAACCUCGAGACACGUUUUCCGUGCGGCGCUAUGGACAAGUUCCUUGGAACAGGACAUCGUAGAGGGUGAAAAUCCCGUACUUGCCAUGGAUGUACCGUGCUUUGCGAUACGUGCUCUAAGAGUCGAGUUGUUUGGGAUUGCAGCUCAAAAUGGGUGGUAGACUCCAUCUAAAGCUAAAUAUCGGGGAGAGACCGAUAGCGAACAAGUACCGUGAGGGAAAGAUGAAAAGCACUUUGGAAAGAGAGUUAAAAGUACGUGAAAUUGUCGAAAGGGAAGCGCUUGAAGUCAGCCAUGCCGCUCAGGACUCAGCCUGGCUUUUGCUUGGUGUAUUUCCUGGGUAGCAAGUCAGCAUUGGUUUGGAUCGUCGGAGAAGCAUAGUCGGAAUGUGGCGCCCUCGGGCGUGUUAUAGCCUUCUAUUGGAUACGACGAUCUAGACCAAGGAACGCAGCGCGCCUUAUGGCGGGUCUUCGGACACCUUCGCGCUUAGGAUGCUGGCGUAAUGGCUUUAAGUGG
rnacentral:rRNA from 1 species